GUGGUGGUGGCUCAACGGUCAAGGCUCUGAGUUACUAAUCAGAAGGUCGGGGGUUCAAGCCACCUCCAAGCUGCA